GACGAACCGUGCGAACGUUAUUCGGAAUCACUGGGCUUAAAGCGCGUGUAGGCGGGACGGCACGUCGGUCGCUGAAAGCCCCCGGCUCAACCGGGGAAGUGGCGCCGAUACGACCGCCCUGGAGGGACGUAGGGGGACCUGGAACUUCCGGUGGAGCGGUGAAAUGCGUUGAGAUCGGAAGGAACGCCCGUGGCGAAAGCGAGGUCCUGGACGUUUUACUGACGCUGAGACGCGAAAAGCCAGGGGAGCGAACGGG
rnacentral:rRNA from 1 species